rnacentral:rRNA from 1 species
UGCAUCGAUGAAAAACGCAGCGAAAUGCGAUAAUUAAUGUGAAUUGCAGAAUUUCAGUGAAUCAUCGAGUCUUUGAACGCACAUUGCACCCCUGGUAUUCCGGGGGGUAUGCCUGUCCGAGCGUCAUU